CGGGACGGGUGAGUAAUGUCUGGGAAACUGCCCGAUGGAGGGGGAUAACUACUGGAAACGGUAGCUAAUACCGCAUAACGUCGCAAGACCAAAGAGGGGGACCUUAGGGCCUCUUGCCAUCGGAUGUGCCCAGAUGGGAUUAGCUAGUAGAUGGGGUAACGGCUCACCUAGGCGACGAUCCCUAGCUGGUCUGAGAGGAUGACCAGCCACACUGGAACUGAGACACGGUCCAG
rnacentral:rRNA from 1 species